GGGGGGGGGGGGUCGUUGCUUUUUCAAAGCCUUCUUGCACCCCGAGUGUGUGAAGAAAUACACGGCAGAAGAACACGGCGACUACUGGGACUGAGGGAACUGACGAAUAUCCAUGAGCUCCGAUUCCCCUCACUACAGUUUCAGGAUGCCAAAUAUAGGGUUCCAGAAUCUUCCCCUUAAUAUCUACAUUGUGGUGUUUGGGACAGCCAUCUUUGUCUUCAUCCUCAGCCUCCUCUUCUGCUGCUACUUAAUAAGGUAACACCCAUGCACCUGUUAGCUUUGGAUUUGGCUUUGCUUAGAAUUCUUAUUGUGUAUAUGUGUGAGUUUGUGGCAAUACAGUGUGGUCCCUUGGGUAGGCAACAAAUCAUUAAUAUGGUGGUAUGUGUAAAACCAGUUUGAUAUUAAUUACCCUCGUGAACUGCAUUCUGCUGCUCAUGCGCUGCCAGGAUCGAAAAUACAAAUUUGCAUUAAUCUAUUUAAAGAAAUACAGGCUUCCAGGGUUCUCAUUUUCAAACCAGUAAAAAUGAUGUUGUACUGAUGUUUCUCAACGUAAAGGCUUAAUACUAAUGGAGACUUUAUAUCUAGUAAUCUAUACAGAACCGUUCAAUUAAAUAUUGAAUAAUCAUGUUGUUUCUAUUCAGCAGACAUCAUCAUUGUCACAAUGGCUUUUAGUCGAGGUUGAAUUAUAUAAUUAUAAUUGUUUUCCUUUUUUAGAAAUGUGUGACUUUAGGAUUUUAAUUGAUAGGAAAAACAGUUAUACUAUGCUGACAUCCAAAGCUGGUUGUCUACAUUAUCAUGAUCAUGGCACUUGGCGUCAAAGAAAAGAGUUCUAUAUUUAUUUUUCUAAGAGCCAAUUAACCUCCUAAAUGUUCUCCCCAUAUCCUUUCUUCAAUUAAAUUCACAUUUGGCUCUUCAUUAAAUUAGUAUUUGGGUGUUUAGAACCUGUUUGUAACCAUUACUUUAUUCUUGUUGAAUCUCCCUUUGUCAAGCAAUUAGUCUUGAGUGUAAUCCAGUAAUUAUUCCCCACAAAGAGGUGGUUUCUAGUCAUUCCCUUGCACCUCUAUUUAAUACCACUGGUCUAAUUAAGUUGUCCUGGUUGCCGUGGCUGCAGGGUUUUCUCAUGCCAACAACUAACUGAACAGAAAUAAUGUCCAGCAUGUUUUAUCAGUCAAGACAGUGGGAAGCAGCAGUUCCCAACAAAAUUCACCCCUCGUCACCCUGCCAUAUCCUAUCUUGCAGGGCGAAUGGUAAGUAGGUUAACUACUACUGUGUUACUACAAUUCUUCAUUUAACUGUGAAAAGACACUUUAUGACUUUGAUACAGUACCAUGAUUCAACACAUAAAGCAAAAAGAGCAUUUUUGCUCCAUAAAGAGCAUCUGAAGAUGCAGUCUCCCAAAGGACUGGCCUAAAUUCAUAUGCACCAUUAUGCAUGACGAAUGUACAAAUUAAAGCCUCCAUAUGAAAAUCCUUCUUUCACAAAUUGGCUCAAGCUUUACUUAAACCUCAGAGGUUGCCAUAAAGCGUGAAUCCUAUAGUCUCUGUGCAGUAAGCGUCAUUGCUUGUUUACACUGAGAGGAGAAUGAGGGGACCAAGGAAUUUACUUUAGAGUUUGAGUGUGAUGGUCAUUACUCCAACAGACAAACACUCACAAAGUUUGACACAAGGCAGACUGUCACAGAAAUACUAAACCACCUUCAACAGUGAGUCCUGGGUCAACACACAUAUAUGUUAAAUAUGCAGUGUACAUUACAACAAGUAAUUCCUGAGCAUGGGGUGUUUCUGAAAGUAAGAGACAGGAGCUCUUGAAUGAUGAACUCACAAACAUGGCCUACAUGUUUAUGCAUGUGCAAUGUAAAUAAACCUAGAUCUUUGUAACAGCAAGUCUGUAACAGUUUAGUGCUUAUGAAUGUUCAGUGAGGUGACACACUAUGAUGAUGGCUGUCACACAUAUUUAAAAUUGAGUAGCCCGCUGACUACAGGCAAACAAUGAUAAUAAUACCUUUUGAGAGGACGGUCAAUUUGGACAUCUGUUUCUCUCAGCUGGUUAAUGUUACCCACGUUGACAUUGCAGUUAAGGGCCCCAUCCGUCACCCACAACCCCCCCACCAUGACCAAUUGUCCCCUACCCUUGGGAGUCUCUGCACCUUUUCCUGCUGACCUCUUUCAAAAUGUCAGUUUUUCUCCUAGACUGUGCUGCUUGUUUUACAGAUCCCUCUCACUCUGCUGCGAGAGGUUAAGGUUACUUGUAAUGGAGGUUACGGCACCAGGCGCACAAAGAGCUAUAUGCAUACAAACAAGUCAUUCAGAAAGAAAAAGUAAAAGAACUAAAUUUGCAUGAGAUUUGUGCAGUGUGCUUGGAGGAGUUCAAACAGAAAGACGAGCUGGGGAUUUGUCCGUGCAAACAUGCCUUUCAUAGGAAGUGCCUCAUUAAGUGGUUGGAGGUGAGGAAAGUGUGCCCGCUGUGCAACAUGCCCGUCCUGCAGCUCGCCCAGCAGGCCGGCAGCACGGAUGCUCCGGUGCCAAUACAGCAGCCUCUCCCCGGCAUCGAGAACCUGGUGUAGCAGCCUCCAACCCUCACAUGUAGUACACAACAGACACACACAAAUACACAUCCCAUCAUUCAUACAGGUACACCUUUGGUAUGAGUCUGUGGACAGAGCGGAGACACUGGGGUUCAUGCGCGGAUACUCACAAAAACUGUGACUCUUCCGCCAUCAUCAACUUAUUCUUGCAAUGGUUCACAAAAGGAUUUGCGUCUAUCAGUUCUGACUGAUAAUCGACUGUAUUCAUGUUUUUUUUCUUUUCGCGGACAAUGAAGAACAUAGUUGAUCUUGAAGAAGUUUCCCUGUUGGCCAAGAUGUGGUCGAUAACUUUUUCUCAACCAAAGCACUUUUCUGGGGACACCAGCUUAAGUAAGACCAGGAGGGGAAAAAACACAAAAGCCAAGAACACUCAAAUAUAAAUUGUUUAACUUUUUUUUAACAAGCACUUUAUGAUCAGGCAAAUCUUAAUUGAUUGUGAUCCUAGUAGCAAGGUUAUGUUUUAUAUUUUAUCAUGAACUAUUAUUUUCUGUACAGUACAAAGCCACAUGGGCUUUGGUUUUUAAUUAGUCAACUUUGAUUUGUAAGACAAAAUGUCUGAAAGGGACAACAAAACCUGUCAUUAGAUAAAUGUCAGGAAAUUUGGAUAAUGCUUUUAAUUGUAAGUGCACCUUGAGAUUUUGUCUGAUUAAAUGUGAAAAGUUUGAAUGUGUUGAAACAGAAUUCUUCACACAAAGCCAAUAUCAUUUUUUCCCUCAUUGAUGGCCUGUUUGUCAUUCAUUACAAUGGGACUAUUGUCGUUAUCCUUUGUUAUUAUUCUGUCAAUACAGGAAGGUGAUAGAGUGAACAAAUUAUAUUUUCAUGAAAGGAAUAUACAGAGUAACAUCCACCAUAUACAAGUGCAGGCUAUAUCCUCUUACCCCAGAAAAACAAUUCACGAUCUCUCCAAAAGGAAAUGACAGUUUCAAAGCAACUACUUCAACGACUAUGAUUAUUUAAACCAGUAUUAGUGUGUAACACCUGGAGCUUUAUCUAUAACACUGUUUUACACAACAGACACCAGUAAAGCAAUGUUAAGCAAAUGUCUAAAACACGUAACAUAAAUGUUCCUCUUUUAUUUUGUUCUGCUGCAUAAUUUUAUUGGAUUGAAGCUGUUCUGUGUGAGUGUUACAGUGGCUUGCUUCAGAUGAAGGCUGAGACACUUCAGAAAAUAAAAAGACAGAUGUCAAACAGGCGUAUUGAUUUAUCUUAAACAAGCUUCAUAUAUCCUGCUAGAAUAGGUCGAUACCUCAAUUUUGGAAGAAAGCAGCAUGAAGCAGGCGUUUGCCUUCUUUCCUGUUCAGAUCCUACUUACAAUGUUCUGCAUACACAGUUGCCGUUACUUUUGCUUCUAUCCAAGUAGAGUAUUUGUAUUUAUUUUUGUAUUUAUUAUAAUUUCUGGGUACAGCUGCAUAGAGUGAACGAGUAAGUAGAUUAACACCUGCACCAGAAUUACUGCCCUCAGCAGAUAAUCAGCAUAUCUUUUGGUCAAGAAAUACACACGACUCGGUAAAAUACGCACAAAGGGAGGGGCUUGAGCUGCCCCAUGGACAGGUUGCCAGAGAGUCAGGGGUCAGCAGGUUGUAAUGAAGCAGCGUUUUCAUUCAUGCACACACAUAAAGGGUAGUUCUGCUUUUUGGCUGCAGUAUUCUGGCGCUUUCGCCUCUCUCCCUCUUUCUGUUUUUGUUUUGUGCCACACAUACAGUAACUCUUAAGCCCUGCCAGCUUUUGUGGUUAUGUUUUUUUGUCCUCAUCCCUUGUUAGCUGCAUUUGGUAAAUGGGUUGUGUGUCAAUGUGCUGACCUGAAAAGAGCAGCUAAAAAAACUGUGCUGUGUCAAGAGUGAUGGAUUUAAGAUUUGUUGGAGAUUUCCUUUAACCUGGGAUAUGUACUGACAAAUAACAAUACAUUCUCAUUACAGGGACUAUCCCUGAUCCAAAUGUAAACAAAAGAAUAGUCCCACCAUAAAUAAUGUAAACUAACACAAUGAAAUACAAUUAAAUCACAUUGUUCAAUGUGUUUUGCGCGAUUAAAAGGUUUGUUUC